rnacentral:rRNA from 1 species
AUGGACGUAGGCGCGGUACGUGUUACACAGUCGGUCGAGUCAAGAAGCAUCUCAAGUGUGUACGGUGCAGGGUUGCUGUCUGGACCGGAAGAAAAGCAUGGGAUGGCAUGCAUGGUUUGGACAUGUAUAAAAGUGACUGUCAGAGGUCGACGGAUCGGGCAAAUCGACCCAUCAUCUGCAGGCAAUAUGCUGCCUUCUACGGCAACAAGAAGGGGGGAGCAAAGUCAGUUGUGUCUUCGUCUUCCUCUUGGUGAUCUCGAUCGAACUAGCCAACCACGUGUUGUACGUAGCACGUACGUACAUGGACAGUGGACACCCGCCAUACGCAAGGCCGCGUCGCAUCGGCCAGCCGUGUGGACGAUAUUAUUAGAUAGAUAUAUUGCUGGGAUGUUGAUGACACGGAGACAUGUAUCUGCUAUCUGCCUGAUGGGAGUCGAUCGAUCGAACGAGCGAACGAACGGCAGAUGCGCUCCUCCCGAGCUUCUGGGGACGGUGGGGUGCGGCCUGAAAGUGAAAAUUGACCCGGAAAGCGCCGUGUGUGGAGGCCCUGCGCUCGCCGCUCGGGUAGCUUCUCGUAGCGUCGCCGUCGACGGCGUCUUUUUGACCGGACGCGGCCGCCUAACAGCACUCGCCACAGCACGCUGGAUUUCCCCCAUCCAUCAGCCCAUCGAAUCAUCCAUUCCAUCCAUCUCUGGAGCCGGGACUGGUGGUGAUCAACCUGCAUUUCGGACACUUAGGAGAUCCGCAUCUGCACGCGGACGCACGCUAGCAGACAGUAAUAAGAUACCAAGAUUCCGGAGUCCCCUGCUAGCCGGCCGUCGUUUCCACCCGAUUUGCUGA